rnacentral:rRNA from 1 species
UACGUAGGGGGCUAGCGUUGUCCGGAAUCAUUGGGCGUAAAGAGCGUGUAGGCGGCCCGGUAAGUCCGCUGUGAAAGUCGGGGGCUCAACCCUCGAAUGCCGGUGGAUACUGUCGGGCUAGAGUGCGGAAGAGGCGAGUGGAAUUCCUGGUGUAGCGGUGAAAUGCGUAGAUAUCAAGAGGAAUACCUGAGGUGAAGACGGGUUGCUAGGCCGACACUGACGCUGAAGCGCGAAAGCCAGGGGAGCAAACGGG